UACAGAGGUGGCAAGCGUUGUUCGGAAUUACUGGGCGUAAAGGGCGCGUAGGUGGCCUUCUUAGUCAGACGUGAAAUCCCCAGGCUUAACCUGGGAACUGCGUCUGAUACUGGAAGGCUCGAGUUCGGGAGAGGAAUGUGGAAUUCCAGGUGUAGCGGUGAAAUGCGUAGAUAUCUGGAGGAACACCGGUGGCGAAGGCGGCAUUCUGGACCGAAACUGACGCUGAGGCGCGAAAAGCCAGGGGGAGCAAACAGG
rnacentral:rRNA from 1 species